rnacentral:lncRNA from 1 species
UUUAUAUAUAAAUAUACAAUAUACUAGUAUAUGUUACAUAUGCAUAUGUUAUAUAUAUGUAUAUACAUAUACAUAUAUGUUAUGUAACAUUACCAUGUAACAUAUGUAACAUACAUAUGUAACAUAUGCUAGUAUAUUGUAUAUUUCCACUUGAAUACAAUGUGUUUAAUGAAAAUCAAAUGUCAACUAGGUUACUGAGAGGUCAGGGAAUUAAUGUGCUUAUUUUAACUUUUCUUGAAAAGACUUCUAAUGAAGGUUGAAAUUUCAAGAGCUCUUAGCAUACAGGAAAGGGCCAGAACUUGGCAAAUGGUAUUGGAGGGUAGGGCAUAACCCGAUAGAUGUCAAAGAUGGGAAUGUUGGAACAUUGGAAUAAGAGGAUAGCAAGAAAUUUAGCCUGAAAGAAAUGAAGAUGUUAUAAGAGAGAGUAGCCUGGCAAGUAUUAAAAGUGGAGAAUUCAGCAGAUGGUGCUGGACUAUAUGUGUGCAGUGAGCUAUGUGAUUUGCAUAAAUGAAUUGGUCUGAAGUUAGGGAUUUAUAAAAGGAUCUGUAUUUUAAAGCUAAAAGGGAUUUUGAAAGAGAAAAGAACGUUUAUCUAACAGUGUGCCCAGCAUAAUGUUUCCAUACAUGUAUUUUCAGGGAAGGGAAUAGCUCUGGAGCUAGUUAGACAUAGUCUCAAAUCUUGGUUCUUCCACUUUUCUGCUUUGUGACCCUGGGCAAAUUAAUUAACCUUUCUGAGCUCCAGUUUCCUCGUGUGCAACACAGGGAGAGAAAGUCUCCCUUUGUAAGAGUUUAGCGUGAGUAAGAAUAAGAAAGUUCGGUGAAGUGCAUGGACUAUUGUAGCUACUCUGUAAGUGUUAAUUUUUUGCUUUUCUCCCUCGCUACACUUUGUCACCACUUGAGUUUGAAUGACCUCUACUAGGCAACCUGGACACAUCUGGUGAUGCCAGGUCACUAGGCAGUUUCUAGGAAGGCAGCUACUCCUUUCUGUUUCCUAGAAAAGCACAACAAGUAGUGCUAUCAUGGAGACAGCAAAGGAGAUGGCCAAUCGGCUGUCGCUGAAGGUACAUUAUUUAAUCCAGGGGCAAGUUAGAGAGAAAGUCACUGUGAGAUCUUGUGCAGUAUAGUAAAUGGCAGGCACUCAGCAGAUCUGAGUGGAACAGUAAAGCAUUUAUUAAGGAAAAAGUGUUUCUUGAUGAGCCACUGGGAUGAUGAAGCUAAGCUUUUGCGUUAUUGUGGAUAUAAGAUGAAAGCUAUGUUUCAACUUUGAGAUAGUAUUUCCUCUGUCAUUUCCUGGCAUAUUUAUUUGGACAUUAAAUAGACACGUGAUUAAACUUUGAACUCACUGAUUGGGAUUCACAGGGAGCAGAAGCUCCAAAAAGUCUGUGAGGUCGUUGUAUGCUCUUACCUCAGCUCUCUGAGGCUCCGGCGUUGUCUUAGUCUCCUGGAUAGAUUUAAAAGGGCACUGGCCCAAGCUUCUUCUCUUACCCCAUUUGUUUUCUAUGGCAAAAUGUACAAGGAUGAUCAUGUCUGCAUAUUGUACAAGUCAAGAGCCGUGUGACCUGUGGUUUUCUGAACUUAACUGGUAGCUCUUUCCAAUAUGUAAUAUCCACCCAAUUCCUGGGAAUACACCCUAGGAGCAGAUAUGUAGAUUUGUGGAUGUGUGGACAUGAGACAUAGUACCCUCUACUGGGGCUGUGGUCCUGGUGGGCAGACGGGAAACAGACACGCUGAGUGGUGUGUUCUCAGACAGUAACUGGAAGGAUUGAUGUCAUUUUAUAGUCCAUAUUUCACAAUAAGGCACUAAGCCUAGCUCUCUGUCCUCUCAGAACUGAACCAUGUGCACAAGCCUAAAAAAGGAAAACUAAAAGCAGAACAUGAGGCAUAUGUUCCAUUAUAAGCUCAGGAGAGAGGUGAAAAGUUUAAGUAAAUGAAAAACAGAAUCAUUGUCAAUGGUUGGAUAUCAUGAUUCAACAUACAAAUGCAUCCAGCCAUUAACCAACUGCUAACUGUUUUUGGGGGGCAAGGAAAGUACUACAUGAUAUAAGAUAGAUAUUUAGCUGUUUUCCUUAGCAUGAUAAAAUACAGCCUUUCAAUCUUUUACCAACUCUUAUUGCUAUGGAGAAAGAAUUUUAACAGAGAGUGAAAGAACAGACCCCUGCCACAGGGAGAUGAAGCUGGUAUAAUCAGAGGAGAGAAAAGACCGUAUUAUUUAGGAUAAACAAGAAGGGGAGAGCAAUUUAAUUGGUUCCUGAUGUUCCACAUAACACAGGCCAGAGCUCUUAAAACCUAGUGGCUUAUUUUUAUUUGUGAAUAGAUUUGAUUUUUUAAAAAAUGAGUUUUCCAUCUGCGUUGGUGGAAUUCCAGUCAAGGGACUUCGAUCCUGGCUGCUUUGAUCUUGUGCUCACCUUUCAAAGCCAUGAAAAGGUCUUCUUUUUCCUCUAUGUAAAAGUACUCCCAGCCAAUAUUUAAUAUGAAAGAGAUGUUUAUCAGACUUGGGAUGGGCAUAUUGAAGCUAUUCAGGAGUUGGACCUUUCUUUCCCUGUCUCUUCUUUUUCUCAUACACGUGCUUUUUUUCCUACCAGCCUGCAUCCCUUGACUCUAUUUCCUGUUGUGAGUUUAUACAGCUGAGGGAGGCAUAGGUGACAAUUAAGUUAUUAUAAAAGUAAAUGAGAAGAAAAAGAAUUGAAGAGGGAUUGCUGUGUAUGGGAGAAAUGUGCAUUAAUUCAAUUGCAAAAGCUCUGACUGACAGCAGGCUGUGAUUGUUUGAGAGAGCUGGCAAUUUCAGUAGUCUGUUUGCCAGAUCUUAAUGUGAAGUCCAGACUCCAAGGCGGUAUUUGGAAGAUAAUUCUCAGUGGGUGCUUCUGUUACUUUUUCCCUCCUUCCUAUCUCUAGGAAAGCUGUCUAUAAAUUAUUUAAAUUCAGCAAAUCAAGCAGGUCUCUGUGAACGUUUGCAAAGAAGACGGAAUUUAUUUUAAAAACCGACUGAUGAUAAUAAAAUAGAUCUUUUUUCAAGUGAAAGAAGCUAUCUACUUGUAGUUCCUGGAUACAAAGCCCAGUCAUCUGAGACAAUUCGAGAGCAAACUAACAUUUUUCAGUUCACUUUCCACAUCAUGUUUUUUUAUAAACUCCGAUACCCGCCAGUUAACUUACAUAUAAUUAGCAUUGUUUCUUAGGCAAGGUAAACAUGGUUAUAGCAUUUGUGUCUCUCCCAAUAUUUAAAGCAAAACACUCAGUAGAAAGAAAUGCCUUCCUUUAAGGAAAAUGGCUUUUUGAUUAACCUUAAUUUGCAAAAUAAGACACAGCAGGAUGAAUAUUUGCACGUCAAAAGAAUUCAUUAUUUGACAAAAAAAAUUACUACAAAAUUCCUUUAAAUUACAGACUCAGGGAAUAUAGUUUAAAUAUACUUUUUUUUUUAUUAAUGUUAUGAUAGAUUACAACCUUGUGAGAUUUCAGUUGUACAUUUUUGUUAGUCAUGUUGUGGGUACACCACUUCCCCCUUUGUGCCCUCCCCCCACCCCCCUAAAUAUACUUUUAUUAAGCAUAAUUUAAUUAAUAUGCAAGUUUUCAGUAACAGCAAUUACAAUAAAAACAGUAAAUUUCUGAGCAGUUUUCUUUUGGCUUUUUGUUUUUAAUAAAACAACCACCACAGACUUUGCCCGUAUCAUCCACUUCCUCAGCCAAUAGAUUUUGAAGAGAUCUCUUCAUAUUCUCCUAACACAGAACUCUAAAACCACAUGGAAGAAUGAAACCUUUUUAUGUAAGGGCUAUAGGAUGGAAGCUUUCUCGAAAAGUAAUUAGCGAAAUUGUGGUGAAGGAUAAAGGAGGCAGGACAAUGUCAGCUUUUAAAUGUCCAUUUAUCACACAUUCCAGAUGAUGGAAAAGAAAUGCUGGAGCAAUAGGUCAGCUGUUUUAAUGUUUCUCCCUGAAUCAAGGAGGGAGGGGACGUUAUGGAUCCCAGCUGUGCUUACUUUCAGGCUUCCUGGCUCUUUACCAUUCUGUAGUUUGUAGUCUACGUGGUGCAAAGCCCAGGGGAUAUUUCAGUCCAGCAGCUCUUGCCCAAGUUAGUUUUCUUUUCUUUUUUAUGAAGAGUAUCAGAUACUUGUAAUGCUCAACACACCGCCAUGAUGCACUUAAAUGCCAGGACAGGACAAGAGAGAGAGGGGUCGGGGAGAGGGGGAGAAAGAAAGGGAGAUGAGAAAGAAGGGAUGAAGCAAGAGUGGAAGGGAGGAAGAAAGACUAGAAAGGCAAAAAAUGAGCCUAGUGUAUUCCAGUAAGUUCCAAAGAAGGAAAAAAGGAAGAGAGAAAGGAAGGAAGGAACCAAAGGAUCAGGAAUUGAGAGGACUGAAGGCCUUACCUAUUUUUUUACUUCCUGAGUUUUAGUGUGCAUCAUAAUUACUUGGAAAGCUUGUGAAAUGAAGAAUCUCAAGACUUGCCGACAGUUUCUGGUUUGUCUGGAGCCCGGGAAUCUGCAUUUUAACAAGAAACAAGUUCAUAGUCAUACUGGUGUUGAAGGGCUGUUUCUCCCAGAAGUUCUACUGAGGUGCCUACCUUCUGUAGAGAGGAAGAUGGAAUUUCAGAGGAGCUGAAAGGAAAUCACAUUCAGAAGAGAUAGGAUCUAAAAUCGCCAGUAGAAAGAUGGAAGCCUGUUAUUCCCUGCCUCAGGAAAGAAAACAUCAAAACUUCAAAGUUCAAGUGCCUAUUUUAAGAGUUUAGAGUUCAAAAUGGCAUCUGGUUAGCCACUGGUGAUUACAAAAUUUCUAUGUAUGGAAGGCUUGGAGGCAGCAAUAGGGUUGGAAGGAAGCCUGAAGUUGGGUUUGCAUAGCAUUUUACAUUAAGUUUGAGAAAGUCAGCUGUUCAUCUCAAAGGAUAAAGGGUGAUGGGGAUUAUUGGUGGUGGCUUAGGGGUGGCUAAAACCAUCCCAGACCCUUUUUUGGUGUGCCAACAAUGAGGCUACUACUCCCUGAGGCAGGCUCACACAAUAUCUCACUAAAACAUCUAUAAAACCACAGGAAAAAUGAAAACAUGAGUCUUAAAGAGACUAAUAAACUGUUGCCUAUGUUCUGGAGGGGACUGGACUGAAUAUGAAGACCUUAAAAUAACCUCUGCACACCCUCCCACCUGAAAUGAAGGAAGGUGGACGUCCCCACCCCUGCAGCCUCUUCGUUUCAAAGCAGACACUUGCUGGUCUACCAAUCCACUCAGUGCCCUUGGGCCAUCCUCGUGAAGGCAUCGGGGAACAUCUGGAUCCCCCCCAUGGCACACGCACGCAUGGGAUGCCAUCUCUGCGCCGCCUCCCUUUGCCAAUGCUGCAUUAUAUCUCUCACCCAGUGUUAAACAUCACAUUGAGCCACUAUAGAUAGGGCUUCUCUAGACCCAGGCGAGCAGUCCACUAACUCCAAGAUCCUCAUUUUCCCUAACACAUUUUCUAGAUGUUUUUUAUUGACCUCCAUGCUAAGGGGAGGAAAGUGAGAUCACUGGGACCUGACUUUAUCCUCUCUCUUCUUUUUCUUCAAACUCCACUAGAAAAAGAACAGAUGGACUGUCAUUCCUUUCUGUGUGACAGGGUUUGCUUACUGAGUUCUCUCUGCUUUAUAUGUGUAGCGGAACUCUAUGAUCAAGUCAGCAGUCACGUGAGAGCUUAGGGAAUUUAGAAACUCCUUUUCUCUCUGGGCAAAGGCCCUUGACAGUCAGAAGCUGACCAUUAAAUGCUUUCUUUCUCUUGCAUUCCUGCUGUUAACAGUCCUAAUUACCCCUGACCCUUAUCCAAGUCAGAUGGAGGGUCAAAAAAGGAAAACCAUACUAAAAUAUUUCCGAAAAUAUUUUUCAUAUUACACAGACAUUCCCCCAGUUUGUCAUUGUUUUGAGCGUUGCUUGUUUUUAUUUAUAGCCAUUUUUAAUUGUUAUGUGAUUCCCUUAUUGAAUAAGGGAGCAGACUGCCGCCUCAGGACUGUCGCACUUAGCUUCCCUUCAAUCUGCAAUGCUCACCCUCACCCCAUCUUCAUCUCCUUAUCUGCUCUCCUCAGGUCUCUGUUCAAAUGCCAUCCUUACAAAAGGUCUUUCCUGACCAUUCCAUCUCAAAUAAGCACUCCCCUAAUUACUUUGCAUUCACUUUUCUCUAAUCUUCUUCAUAGCACUUAUUACCACCUGACGUAUUAUUUGUUUAUUGGUUGAUUUUGUCUCCUCCCAUUGGAAUGUAAGCUCCUUGAAGGAGAGGUAUAUUUUGUUAACUGUCAUAUCCCCAAGGUCUAAACUUGGACUUUUCUGCAUUUAUUAAGAUGUAUCUUUUUCCUCCUUUGACCUCAUUUUGGGAUGACUUAUGAAUAAAAUUACAAAUCAUUUUUAAAUUCCUAGAAGUAAUUUUAUGUAGUUAUUUUGAAAACGUAUAAUAUUGCCAUCUGUUUUAUAAUGUUGCUUUUAGAAUAUUUUCAUCUAUAUUUAUAAGUCAAUUGAUUUGUAC